CAUGAUAUUUGGAAAAUGUAAAAGAAAGUAGAGGUUUCUUUCUGGAUGGCCCAGGAGGUGGACCUGUCCAAGGACAUUUGGCACUGGGAAGCCCUGAAGCCUGAGUAAAGAUAUUUUAUAUCCCAUAUUCUGGCUUUCUUUGCAGCAUGUGAUGGGAUAAUAGAUGAAAACUUGGUGGAACAAUUUGUUCAAGAAGUUCAGAUUACAGAAACCUUCUGCUUCUAUGGCUUCCAAAUUGCUAUAGAAAACAUACAUUCUGAAAUAAAUAAUCUCCUUAUUGACACAUAUUAAAGAUAACAAAGAAAGGGAAUUUCUCUUCAGUGCCAUUGAAACGAUGCCUGUGUCAAGAAGAAGGCAGGUUGGGUCUUGUGUUGGAUUGGGAACAAAGACGUUACCCAUGGAGAACGUGUUGCAUGCAGCCUUUGCCCUGGUGGAAAGCACCUUCUUUUCUGGUUCUUUUGCAUUGAUAUUCUGGCUCAAGAAACAAGGACUGAUGCCUGGCCUCACAUUUUCCAAUGAACUUAUUAGCAGUGAUGAGGGUUUACACUGUUACUUUGCUUGC
rnacentral:lncRNA from 1 species